ACUAAAAUGUUUUAAUUUUUUUCAGAUUUUUGGAAUAUUUGCAUAUAUAUAAUGAGAGAUCUUGGGAUGAGACCCAAGUCUAAAUGUGAAGUUCAUUUAUGUUUCAUGUGUACCUUAUACAGAUAACCUGAGCUAAUUUUAUGUAAUAUUUUAAAUAAUUUUGUGAAUAAAACAAAAUUUUGACUGUGAGCUGUCACAUGAGAUCAGGGUGUGG